UACGGGGGGGGCAAGCGUUGUCCGGAAUCACUGGGCGUAAAGGGCGCGUAGGCGGCUCAUGAAGGCUGUGGUGAAAGUCCGGGGCUCAACCUCGGAUCGGCCGUGGCGACUCGUGGGCUGGAGCACUGUAGAGGCGGGUGGAAUUCCGGGUGUAGCGGUGGAAUGCGUAGAGAUCCGGAAGAACACCAGUGGCGAAGGCGGCCCGCUGGGCAGUGGCUGACGCUGAAGCGCGACAGCGUGGGGAGCAAACAGG
rnacentral:rRNA from 1 species